rnacentral:rRNA from 1 species
UACGGAGGGGGCUAGCGUUGUUCGGAAUUACUGGGCGUAAAGCGCACGUAGGCGGCGAUUUAAGUCAGAGGUGAAAGCCCGGGGCUCAACCCCGGAAUAGCCUUUGAGACUGGAUUGCUAGAAUCUUGGAGAGGCGGGUGGAAUUCCGAGUGUAGAGGUGAAAUGCGCAGAUAUCAGGAAGAACACCCGUGGCGAAGGCGGCUCUCUGGGACGGUACUGACGCUGAGACGCGAAAGCGUGGGGAGCGAACAGG